AGAGUUUGAUCAUGGCUCAGGAUGAACGCUAGCUACAGGCUUAACACAUGCAAGUCGAGGGGAAACGACAUCGAAAGCUUGCUUUUGAUGGGCGUCGACCGGCGCACGGGUGAGUAACGCGUAUCCAACCUGCCCACCACUUGGGGAUAACCUUGCGAAAGUAAGACUAAUACCCAAUGACGUCUCUAGAAGACAUCUGAAGGAGAUUAAAGAUUUAUCGGUGAUGGAUGGGGAUGCGUCUGAUUAGCUUGUUGGCGGGGUAACGGCCACCAAGGCGACGAUCAGUAGGGGUUCUGAGACGGAAGGUCCCCCACGAUUGGAACUGAGACACGGUCCAAACUCCUACGGAGGCA
rnacentral:rRNA from 1 species